GAAAACAUUUGGUGAAUUGGGAUGUCCAAGUGAAUGAAAAGAGUGAAUGAAGUUGGGCUGACUCGAAAGAAAAGUUUUCUGAAAGCAUAUCUCUAGGGGGAGAGCUUAGUAAUGACUAACAAGAUCUUGACGAGUGGAAGCCCAAAGAUUGUAGAUGAAGCGACGAACAAGCAUGCUAAAGAAAAAGAUGAACUUAGGUCUAGAUCUUGAGAUCUAAAUGAUAUUUAU
rnacentral:lncRNA from 1 species